CAGAGGUAGCAAGCGUUGUUCGGAAUGACUGGGUGUAAAGCGCGUGUAGGUGGUUUAGUAAGUUGAAUGUGAAAUCCAUUGGCUUAACCAAUGAACUGCAUUCAAAACUGCUUUACUUGAGUACGGGAGAGGGAAGUGGAAUUUCUGGUGUAGCGGUAAAAUGCGUAGAUAUCAGAAGGAACACCGGUGGCGAAAGCGACUUCCUGGUCCGUAACUGACACUGAGACGCGAAAGCUAGGGGAGCAAACAGGAUUAGAUACCCUGGUAGUCCUAGCCGUAAACGAUGUACACUAGGUGUGUCCCGGUUAACGGGAUGUGCCGAAGCUAACGCAUUAAGUGUACCACCUGGGGAGUACGGUCGCAAGAUUA
rnacentral:rRNA from 1 species